rnacentral:rRNA from 1 species
GAUGAACGCUGACAGAAUGCUUAACACAUGCAAGUCUUUGGCGAAGCUGUGCUCGCCCAGCCUAGCCAAGGCGGACGGGUGAGUAACGCGUAAGGAACUUGCCCUGCAGUCAGGGAUAACAGACGGAAACGACUGAUAAGACCUGGUAAAGUCAGGCGGACUCAUGUCCAGCCUGAUGAAAAGAGAUGCUGCAGGAGAGCCUUGCGUCCUAUUAGCUUGUUGGUGGGGUAACGGCCCACCAAGGCGAUGAUAGGUAGCCGGCCUGAGAGGGUGGACGGCCACAAGGGGACUGAGAUACGGCCCUUACUCCUACGGGAGGCAGCAGUGGGGAAUAUUGGACAAUGGGGGCAACCCUGAUCCAGCAAUUCUGCGUGCACGAUGAAGGUUUUCGGAUUGUAAAGUGCUUUCAGCAGGGAAGAAAAAAAUGACGGUACCUGCAGAAGAAGCGACGGCUAAAUACGU